UACGUAGGGUGCAAGCGUUAAUCGGAAUUACUGGGCGUAAAGCGUGCGCAGGCGGUCCGUUAAGACAGAUGUGAAAUCCCCGGGCUCAACCUGGGAAUUGCGAUGGAGACUGCAAGGCUAGAAUCUGGCAGAGGGGGGUAGAAUUCCACGUGUAGCAGUGAAAUGCGUAGAGAUGUGGAGGAAUACCGAUGGCGAAGGCAGCCCCCUGGGAUAACACUGACGCUCAUGCACGAAAGCGUGGGGAGCAAACGAGGAUUAGAGUACCC
rnacentral:rRNA from 1 species